rnacentral:misc_RNA from 1 species
AACGGUCUAUACCUGCGGUACCUGCGGAAGGAUCAUUAUAGAGUGGUAAACCCUCCGUAAAAGGGGGGGACCUCCUGUCCUUUGUAGGCUCUUUUUUAAAGGGCUUUUUUAAUUUUCUGCUUCGGUGGGGUUAUCCCACCGGAACAACCUCAAAACUCUGAUCAAAAAAUCGUUCUGUCUGAGAACCUUUUAUAAUAAAAAAAACUUUCAGCAACGGAUCUCUAGAUCGGAAGAGCACAC